UUGAUUCAUAGAUUCAGCACACAACCAUUAGUCUAGGCCUUUUAGUUCAAAUUCUCUUCACUUAUGUUUGUAAAAUGAUCAGGGAAGCUACUGCAGUUUUGCCUGACAUUGUUAUGACAGCUAUAUUCACCCGUACAUUUAUAUCAUAAUAUAUUGACGGGAGAGCUAUAUUCACCUGUACUUUCAUAAUAAAUCAUAAUACAUUGACACGCAGUCUGGAGAACACUGGUUCGCAAGUAGCCUAUCACUAGCAAACACACAGCUAUCCAUUUCAAGGAAAACAUAUGUAUUAUGCUUACCGUUUAUUAAAGAAAAGUAUCUUGAGAGGAAUUGAAAUUGCUGGAUCAGCGGACAAAAGGCGAUUUCUCGAAGAACAUUUGUUUUUUUAAGGCGGGUAUUUUCCGAAGUCGCAAAAGUAUGACGUCACAAGAAGGUGAUUGGUUACUUGUAAUGUGGACCCUGGAACAACAUUAAUUAUGAUGAUGUGGGAACAACGGCAACACGAGGAUAUCAGAUCGUCCGUCUAAAAUGGUCAUAAUUCUUCAUUUAAACGUCAUUGCCACUAUUUAAUAAGGGAAUUUAUUUAUAAAUUUAAUGCUUUCCAUAAAUGGUUCAAAUUCAAAAAAGCUUCCAUACCACGACUUUAAAUAAACCUUUGAACUUCCAACAGGUGCUGAAUGUUUCUCCAACAUAAUUCAGGACAUGGUAGGACAGAAACCAUCUGCCUUCUUUAAUCUAUGCUGGAGAUACAUCAUUCCUCUGCUGACACUGAUAAAUGACGUCUACGUUUACCGUGAAUGGGCGUACACACUAGGAUGGGCCAUGACUCUGUCUUCUGUUCUCAUGGUACCACUAUUCGCAGCUGUACAGAUGUAUUUAACACCAGGCACCUCCAGACAGGUCAGUGCUGAGUCAAGAUACUUGUGCUGUUUUGCUUAAAACACACUGCACUGAUUUAUCUGUGUUAUUAUAAUUUAAAAACAUAUUCACUAAUCGCUAGUCCUUUCCUGUGCUCUAGCGUUUGCACGUACUUUGUUGUCCAACUGAAGCGCCAGUGACGUGCAUAGAAAUAUAAGCAGUCAAACAAAAUGGUGACAUCUGUAAAGCUGAAGACCUUUUUUUCACAUUUUUGUGAAUUCAUUUUAUAAGAUAAGAUAAGAUAACUCUUUAUUGUCAUUGCAGUCAUACAUAGUACAAUAGUACAAUGAAAUUGGAAAACUGUCCUACGUCGGCACUACAUGUAACACAACACGACACGAUACGACACAACACAACACAAACAACACAACCAACACAACACAGUAAUAAAAAAGAAGAAUAAGUGUAUUUGUAUUGCACACUGUUAUUAUUGCACAUUAAUUAUUAUUGCACCUUGUUAUAAAUAUAAAUAUUAUUAUUAUUACUGUUUUUACCAUUGUUAACCCCCCCCCCCCCCCCAAAAAAAAAACGUCCAGGUAGGUAGCCAGUCAGGUCAGCUAUUUGCAUUGAUUAGGGCUAUUGCCCUGUUGUAAAAGCUGUCCUUGAGUCUAUUUGUUCGGGACCUCAGCAGCCUGAACCUCCUGCCAGACGGCAGCAGCUUAAACACCCGGUGUCCUGGGUGUGUGCAGUCCCGUAGGAUGCUGCGUGCCCUCUUGAGACAGCGAGUGCUGUACAGGUCCUUCAGGGACGGAAGAGGAUGUCCAAUGAUUUUUUGGGCCAUAUUGAUGACCCUCUGAAGUGUCUUUCUGUGUGCUGUGGUGCAGCUGGAGAACCAAACACUGAUGCAAUAUGUCAGCACACUUUCAAUGGAGCAGCGGUAGAAGACGGUCAGCAGCUCCUUCUUCAGGUCCAUUUUUCUGAGGAUUCUCAGAAAGUGGAGACGCUGUUGGGCCUUCUUUAAAACCACAGAGGUGUUAGCGCUCCAUGUGUCUAUGUCAUUGACUGUAGAAAACAUGGACGACGCGACUCCGCCUCCUACCAUUGUGCAAAAAUGAAGCCAAAAUAUCCCGCUUGUGGAGGCUGCCAUCUUGCAAAUUUGGAGCCAGAGUCUGCGCAGUAGUGACUUGAGGUGGAGCGACUGUGUAACGCUCCCGCCCACACACCCGCUGGACAUGACCGCAAACACGCCCCCCUACACUUUUUACGUAGCCCGGCUGCUCGAGUUUUUUUGCUGGUUUACCGCGACUGACGACUCGUUUAAUUAAGGUAAAUACAAACAUGUCACUGUUAUAAAAAAAGACGCACAGCUUAUCAUCUUAUAGUUCUAAAAUCACUCUGUUGUUAAUUCGUUUGCUAGAUUAGCCGCUAGCAUACGCGCUGUGUUGGAGGCUUAUUGCUAGCUAGUUAGCGAUGCUACACACCUGCUACUCUAAUAGUCUGUGUUAUUGAAGGAUUCAGCACUUCUUAUGUUUGUUUUUAUCCAUUUUUAGACAGCGAUGAGAUCAUCUGCACACUCUACAGAGGCCCAGAGUUACUGUUAAUAUCAAAAAUAUAAUGCUGUCCUUUGAGAUUUUAACAUAAGACUGUGAGUGUAAUGGAUCUAAAACUGUUUAAAUCUUCAGAGCCCUCUACAGCCUGGUAACAUGGAAACUUUAAAAACAUCAGCAGAACGUUUCAGUAGUGUAGUGUGAUUUGUUCUUUUCAUUUAAUAAUAGAGUCCCUAUUAUAUCAACAGCUACAUUCACCCUGGAGAGAAACUAGUGAGGGAGACCACCAGGACCAAGCUGGGUUUCCUGGGUCCAGAGGUUUGGAGAAACUUCUUCCUUUUCUUUCAUCACAGAUGUCCUGUGCCAGAUGUUCUGUUGACCGACUGAGGGAGACUUCAUUUAAGAAACACCAGGAAGACUGAAGCUCAUCGCAUAGAUCAAGCAGGACUCAUGAUCUUCACCAGCAGCUCCCUCACAGGGAAAUCUUCAGCACUCCUCCGUAGGCCCGAUCCAGGAGAUGGAUAAACCCAGCAUUUCAUGAACACUGUGAUGGAGACCUUUGGUUUGUGUAAUGUUAUAAAUACUCGGAUACUCCCCAGAGGCUCCAGACUUUUACAUAAAGAUAUUAUAUUCAGUCCUGUAGAAAGUUAUAUAUUUAAAAAUAUAUGAUCCUCUCUGGUUACUCUGGUAUGAAUAACUCUGAAUCACUUUAUGGUAAAUAACACAUUAUCUGCAAAAAACUGUGAAAGAAUUCCAGAUGACAAGUUUGUAGUUCAACAUACAAGUGACGACCUUUGACCUUCAUCAGGUUUUAUUUAAUUGUGCCAGAGAAAAUCUCAUAUGCUCUUCAUGCAGCUGAGUACAUCAAGUGUUUAAAACGGAAGCUGUGCAGGUCUGAGAUCAGCAGCUUUGUGAAACACCAAACUGAGGUCCUGUUAAUGCUGAUAUAUAGUGACACAGUUACAUGAGUGAUUAAUCCUUUUGUUUUUUUGUCUUUAACUUUAUCAAUAAAGCUGCAGCUUUCACUACAGCACAUGUAGUACUUUAAUCUUUGUACUGUUUUCAUCAGUUCAUUUUGCAGUUAACAUGUUGGAUGAUCUGUCUGCUGUCACUGGGUGGUGCUGAGGUCUGAAUCUAAGGGCAGCCCCUGUAAUCACAAAGAGAACAGAACCAUCAAACUCAAAUAUAAAUUUUAUUUCUCAAAAUUGAAAUGAAGCUGAUUCUUCUGUCCUCACACACUCAGGAUCUGAAGUUCUUCUCUUACAUUUUUUCAGUAUUACAGUACACUACAGUACUUUAAUCCAUAGUUCCUGAUUAAUGAGGAGUUACUGAAGUACAAGCUUUUAAAAAAAUGUUACUGUCUUUACAGAUGUGGCAAGAGACUGAAAACAUGCUGUUGUUUGCAUAUAUUUGAUAUUCAGCUCUGCACAGGAGCUGAAGCAGGAUGCAGCCUGAUGCUUUUACAGUAUAAUACUUGUAAUAAAAGUACAGUAACAGUAAUUAGUGACUGAUUAGCCCGGAACGUUUCUCUUAAUUUCUUUAGGAAGUUCAUUCACCUGCACAGAUUAGCUAAACGAACCCUGACAGCCGAGUGCUCAUUUUAGCUAGCUAGGUCUCAGGACAUAGCUAAGGACAGUAGUUACGGAUUAACUUACAAACACGAUUAACUUACCGAAAAGUGCAGCGGGGCCUCGGGUCCUUCUGUCAGGUAGUCCAGUUUACUGAAGAACACCUCAGACUGUCAGGUUAAAACACUCGGUCGUGUUUUCGUAGCGUAAACGCUGGCCCUCCUCUCAGAGCCUACGCUCUAUCUGCUAUUCCCGAACACAGAUACGCAAGUUUCUCCGUGACUGCAGCUGCCAAUCAAAGCUGCUAUGAUGACGUUUCACCCCAAUUUAACAUCACCGCUGUAGGAAUUAGAAUCAAACUUAUGGGAACGGAGACCCCUUGGACAUCAAUCAGCAUGAUGAGAACUAUUGAUAACAAAAGAAAGAAUCUUUGGAAAAAAUUAUCUGAGGAGAAUAAAUUUAUUUUAGUCUGACCCCAGUCCCAUCCGCUAACAUGGAGGAGGCGGGGUUUAUGACCUAUACUGCAGCCAGACACCAGGGGGCGAUAGAGACGUUUUGGCUUCAUUUUUGGGGAGCUGUGGCGUCGUCCAUGUUUUCUACAGUCAAUGGUCUAUGUGCACACCCAGAAACUUGAAACUGGAGACCCUUUCCACACACUCCCCGUUGAUGCUGACAGGCUGCAGCUCAGACUUUCUCCUUCUGAAAUCAACUACCAGUUCUUUUGUCUUGGUGGUAUGAGGUCCAGGUUGUUAUGAUUUAAUGAAUAUUUUUCUGUGAACUCAUAUUUCUGUUCCUCUUUGAAUGUGGUAAAAUAAGAUGCAAACAUAAAAUAGUCUCAGCAUGUUCUCUUGUCAUAGCAAAAUCGCUUUAUACUUCAUGCACAGUU
rnacentral:lncRNA from 1 species